UGGCAUUGCACACUUGGUAUAGAUGAUGACACUAAGAUUUAAACUCUGACUCCAGAAUUCUUAUCUCCAUGAUUCUAUUCUGUCUCACCAGUAGAUUGACAGAUGUCAGUCUUGCUCCAUAUGCUUCCAUGUUAAGAGCUGAGCAUACCAGGACAUUGAAAAGAAAGAUUAUUUCACACAGUAUCAUAUCACCUACUUAUUCCUGCCUCCAGGAUCUUGCCUUGACUUCCUGCCCUGACUUCCCUUCAUGCUGGACUGCGGCUGGCGUAAAGCUUACACAUGGCGGUGGGGCUCAAGGAGGAGCCAGAAAAGGAAGACAGGAGGACUCCAGGGGCCAGCCACCCAGUUACACAGCAAGCUAUGGAAUAAGAAGUAAAAAAAGAUACUAUCCCUACACUGUCCUUAAGAUGACCCCUUUUGGAAUUGUCCCUGACCCUUCAGAAUCCAGACCCUCCAGUCUGAAUGACUUUAGCUUUCAUCAGGUGCCUUGGUGCCCAGCCACCCUGGCUGCGAUGGAAUAAAUGGGACACAUAUGUCACUUGGAACCUCAUGAGUCUCUUCAGCCUCCAUUCUGUCCCUGCAUCUGGAAUCAGACCACAUGGAAAGCUUCUCUCGAGAAUCAAUAGAAUCAAUAGAAAAACCUUUCUUCCCAUGGACUCCCACAGGAAUGAAAAGCAAUAGCAAAAAAACAUCACAUUUUGUGACGUUUUGUGACACUUCUUGCAGAGUGAGCCUUUAACCACCUUUUUGCCUGACUGGUUCCUCCUGAAAAGAACAUGUGGGAAUUGUUAAUACUUCCUUGCUUGACAGACAUGAAAUGCCAAUAUUUGCAUGCAUUAAAAAUCCCCCUGGCCUGUCUGACCUCUGGGCUCCUAAAACUCGUUUUUUAUCAUGUUGGUUUUGGAUAUUAAUGCAAAAUCAUCCCAAAUACCCUAGCUUCAAAAACCAUGAACAGAAAUGGAGCCGCUCUUUUUAGCUCUUUUAGUGUGGGAUAUCAUGUAAGAGAACUCAGAAGGCUUAAAGAGGUAGCACUCAACCGUUCUUCACAUGCUCACAUGCAUGUCACUCAUGUAAUAAAUGUGACCCACAUGUAUCUGGUGUGCAAGGAUCCCAAAAGUCACC
rnacentral:lncRNA from 1 species